ACUAAGCUAGUGAAUCCCGAAAGAGGACAAGAUGUAGAGACCAAGGUUUCCCUGUGUGACCCAGGCUGGUCUCCAACUCCUGAGCUCAAGCAGUCCUUUCACCUUGGCUUCCUGAAGUGCUGGGAUUACACGCAUGAGCCACCAGGUUUGGCCUUAAACAAUGUAUUAAAUGCUACAGCAUUUAAUAUUUGUCAUCCCUAGGCUGAUACAACCAGUUGGAAAAAUGCAAUGGUUAAUCCAUUGGUGAGAGAACAUCUGAAGUGGCACUUUGCUAUCUUCUAAAGACAGAGUCUUGCAGUGUCGCCAGCCAGAGUGCAAUGGCACGAUCUCGGCUCACCACAACCUCCGUCCCCUGGGUUCAAGCGAUUCUCCUGCCUCAGCCUCCUGAGUAGCUGGGACUACAGGUGCUCAGCUACAGUAGCUGGGACUACAGGUGCUCACCACGCCCAGCUAAUUUUUGUAUUUUUAGUAGAGACGGGGUUUCACCAUGUUGGCCAGGAUGGUCUCAAUCUCUUGACCUUGUGAUCCACCCACCUCAGCCCUCCAAAGUGCUGGGAU
rnacentral:lncRNA from 1 species